GACGAACGCUGGCGGCGUGCCUAACACAUGCAAGUCGAGCGGGAUCCAACCAGUGGCAACACUGGGGAAGAUCUAGCGGCGAACGGGUGAGUAACACGUGAGAAACUUGCCCCGGAGUUCGGGAUAACUCGAGGAAACUCGAGCUAAUACCGAAUGCCCUCUUCCGAUCGCAUGGUCGGAUGAGGAAAGAUUUAUCGCUCCGGGAGAGUCUCGCGGCCUAUCAGCUAGUUGGCGGGGUAACGGCCCACCAAGGCAUCGACGGGUAGCUGGUCUGAGAGGACGAUCAGCCACACUGGGACUGAGACACGGCCCAGACUCCUACGGGAGGCAGCAGUGGGGAAUCUUGCGCAAUGGGCGAAAGCCUGACGCAGCAACGCCGCGUGCG
rnacentral:rRNA from 1 species